ensembl:lncRNA
CAAACAGUACUUCGUGGUUCAAAGCAUCCUGCUGCAGUAGUAUGUGAUAGUUACAUAAGGUGGUUGGGUAGAGCAGCCUUCGACAGCUUUGCCAGUUCAACCCCCAGGGUCAGCAGUGAGAGAUGGACCUGCAGAGAGGCAGCUGUCUGUUCUCCUUUGCUGUCUAGGCUCAAGCCAAAACUAUCUUAAAGCACGUGGGACCUGCGGUGAAGUAAAUAGAUGGCAGCAAAGCAAGCUCCAACACAGAGCUUGGCAGGACGGCCGGGACUCAGCAGGGCUGUGCUGUGUCCUUCAAGAAGUCAGCUGCAUGGCUGUGGCAGGGACCUUCUGAGAGGAGAAGGGAUUUUGAUUCGUAGUGAAGUGGAUGAGUUUGUCUUCAUCACAGACGUUGUUUCAGGAGCAGUUGCAGUAUCAAGAAGGUGCCCAGCACAGCUCAGAACUGUUUCCAAUGGUGUCUCUAACUUCAUAGCUGCUGCACUGACCAAGUGGGAAUAUGAUGGCCCAAACAGAAACUUGCUAUGGCUGAUUCUGCUUCAUUGGCUGCAAGGAUUUGGCACCUGUUGAUUCUGUGCUUCAUUGUGAGGAGGUCAUGGACAGCUGCCAAAUCAACGGACUAAGAAAUUAAUUAAGCAACUCUGCACUGAGCCUGUGCAUUUUCCACACGCCCAAUUACUAGUGACCUAAAUCGAGGGCAAAAGCCUGGAGUCUGGAGCUCGUUUAGAGAAGUGAUCCUUCCAUAAAACUGCACAUCUCUAUCUUAUGUGGAACGUAUGUCCUAAAAUAAUGUCAGACACCAUCCUGUGCUCAACCUCGGUGCUGGGAGAAGAGAGCUCUGCAUGUUUACCCAGCAUUACCGUACUCCAUCUUGACAUUAUAAUGGGAAGCCACAUAACAGCAGGGAGAAUACCUGUGCCACGUCUUAAGGAAGAUUCUUGUUGACUUUCCAGCAAGUCUUGUGAGACUGCAGCUGGGACCCUAGACCUGCAAACUAAUGGUGAGGCUACCAAACAGUGUGGCAGUCCUGGAGGCAUGCUCAGUCAUUUCCAGACUAAUGGAUUUGAACUGCUUAAAGGAGGUGUAUGAAACACAAGUGAAUUUUACGUGUGAAUUUGUGCAAGAAAGUCAUGUUCAGUUGGUUAUGCAAACUGUGUUAAAGUUGCCCCAAGAGAUCUUAGUACUAACUUUGAAACAAUACACAAGUAUGUAGAAUCAUAGAAUGGCCUGGGUUGAA